GCCCGCGUGGUGCAGUCGUUAGCAUGCCUGUUUCCGAAGCUUUGUCAUGACACAGGUGGUCCCGGGUUCAAUUCCCGGUGUGGGUU
rnacentral:tRNA from 1 species